UACGAAGGGGGGCUAGCGUUGCUCGGAAUCACUGGGCGUAAAGCGCACGUAGGCGGCUUCUAAGUCAGGGGUGAAAUCCUGGAGCUCAACUCCAGAACUGCCUUUGAUACUGGAGAGCUGAGUCCGGGAGAGGUGAGUGGAACUCCGAGUGUAGAGGUGAAAAUUCGUAGAUAUUCGGAAGAACACCAGUGGCGGAAGGCGGCGCCUGG
rnacentral:rRNA from 1 species